GUAUUAUCUUUGCUAGGGCUUUAUAUCAUAUAGGUAGUCCUCAACAAUUUGUACUUAUGGCUGUGAUGUAAUCAUUAAAUUCUGUAAUUGGUCAGAUCAGUUGGGAUGAAUUUGAAUUCCUGAGUAAUGGUCUGAUAUAGAUUAAAGUGUGUUUUUUGUAUUUGGUUCUUAUAUUUUUGUAUUAAUUUUAUUAUUAUAAAGAGGAGUAUUCCAGAAAUAAUCGUCAUCUUUAUGCUAUUUGGCAAACCUCAGUCAAUUAUCGUUACGAUAUUUGUGAAAGAUUGGCUGCUUCUUGGUCACAGACCAGCUAUACUGUUGUCUUGCAGCAUGUGCCUUAUAGUUGACUCAGACAUAUCAGUUCCAACUUUUGAAAAGUCAGUCUUAAGAUCUUUGGCAGUCAAUCUAAGGUCGAUAUUUACUAUUAUUACAAUUUUUCUGCAUGAACAUGAUUAAAGAAUCUUCCUUCUUCCAGACCUGGGAAGAAUUU
rnacentral:lncRNA from 1 species